GAAAAUAAUAUCCAAUAAAUAUGACAGCCAAAAUGGAGUUAGAAACUUUGAGGGAUGAAUUUAUGACAGCUUUACAGGAUGACUGCAUUUGAUUGGACUUACAGAUUUGUCUAUGGAACAACCUGUGGCUAUUGUGGGACAGUAUGAUGAGAAUGCUAACAGACUAAUAUACCAAUUGUCACUCUGAUCAAGAAAAUGCAGGGAAUGAAUUUAAGGCCAUGAUCCUUUUGUCAUAUAUGUACCAUUUGCGAAAUUUAAGGAACCUUUGAAUUUGAUUUGCGAUUUUGAGUACGUAGUCAAGAUCCAACACACGUAUCUGAUUCUGAACUGGGAAUUGUCAGGGGGGUUGUGUGUGGUGAGUCACUUGUAUCUAAGUGGUGCAGCCUGGGGUUGCCCUGUGAUGAAACACUUUGUACCUAUGACCCAAAACCAUGCUAAAUCAGAAAGAACCCGCAUUAGUUAUGGUCAAAUCACUAGUUAACGUUCAAUGGAAAAGUCCAUACCAAUUGAUAACCUGGGAGAGAGGUUAUGCUUAUGUUUUUACAGAUCAGGAGCUGCAAUGGUUGCCAGCACGAAACGUGAAACCUGUGUUAUCUUCCUGACAAUGAUUGUUGCAGCUGCUGUGUUUUGGAUGCAUGCACAGACAAAGACUAACAUGUGGAUUACUUUAGCCAACAUGACUGACCACCUAUAUGCCUAACUACGAUGUCUCUGGAAAAAACGUUCUACACAUGCUUGGUUGGUGUCUUCCUUGAUGACUACAGCAGCAUCACACGACUGUUUCAAAUAGUGGUUGAUGCAGAGGCAUUGCAACGAACUGUAAUAAUACUAACACGGCACUUUGGAUUAAUUGCCACCUGGAAGCAGACAUCGAACCACAGGAACUGGAAUUGCUGGCAUCUAUGCCCAUGGAUGCUUGUAUUCAGCCGGUUUGUGAAAAGUGUCAGAACAGUAUACAAGAACAUGAAUGGACAAACUACAAAAUGUUAAUGCUAUCCUUGGUGACUACAGAAAUGAAACUCGACGGUGUAAUGCUUCACAGAAGAAUGCAAGGGAUAUCAUUGACAGCGACCCUAAAACCUCCUGUAUGGUGUAUUCUUGAUCUGUGAAGAUAGAGCCUGACCAGGAAUUCCUUCUAACGCUGUUGGAGGACUGUGUAUUUUGGGACUAUUAACUCUCUUAACGUCCAAUGUAUCUAUGAUAAUAGAUCACAAAAGAGCAAGACGAGAAAAAUACUUUUAUGGAUUUACAGAAUAAGUCGAGAUCCAUCCACGAGGAGAUUAAACAACUUAUGGAUCAUACACAAAAGAUCCAGAAAGAUGUGGGCUUCUUUGGGCUAGAGGGGCUGUCAAACUGGUCUGGGUUAGGAGGAUGGUUAAAAGGGCUUUUGCAAAGUAUGCUUAUGUUACUUAUUAUAAUAAUUGUAGUAGCAAUGUGCAUAAGUUGUACCUUUUCAUGUCUUCGAAAGCUUUUUGAACGCACCAUGAAUCAAGCAAUGCUCGCGCAAAAAGAAAAAGGGGGAAUUAUUGGGGAAUGGCUUAAGGAGAAAGGGCAUGGUGGGGAUACCGACCCUUUGUAUUAAGAGAAAUGUUUUAGUCAGGAUGGGUAGGCCCGGGUAGGCCUCAGUUAGCAUGAGGGUGACUAGGCAAGUGGAAAAGUACUGACCGAAAGUAACAGUGAGAUAAAGUGCUGACUGUAGGUUACUGAAGGUCACAGAACAGCUUGUUGCAAGCAACUUUGUGGAAGUGUAUUCGGGAGGAUAAGGAACUAGCAUACCAGAGAAAUCGCAAGUAGGGCUGAGCUAAUUUGCUAUGCACUCCAAUCAUAUAAUGACUAGUAGGCAUAAUUAAUGAUAACAGUAUAUAAGCGAGCUGUGUCCGAUCAAUAAACGAAGUAUGCUUAUCACUCA